rnacentral:rRNA from 1 species
UGGGGAAUAUUGCACAAUGGGCGCAAGCCUGAUGCAGCCAUGCCGCGUGUAUGAAGAAGGCCUUCGGGUUGUAAAGCACUUUCAGCGGGGAGGAAGGGAGUAAAGUUAAUACCUUUGCUCAUUGACGUUACCCGCAGAAGAAGCACCGUCUAACUCCGUGCCAGCAGCCGCGGUAAUACGGAGGGUGCAAGCGUUAAUCGGAAUUACUGGGCGUAAAGCGCACGCAGGCGGUUUGUUAAGUCAGAUGUGAAAUCCCCGGGCUCAACCUGGGAACUGCAUUCGAAACUGGCAGGCUAGAGUCUUGUAGAGGGGGGUAGAAUUCCAGGUGUAGCGGUGAAAUGCGUAGAGAUCUGGAGGAAUACCGGUGGCGAAGGCGGCCCCCUGGACAAAGACUGACGCUCAGGUGCGAAAGCGUGGGGAGCAAACAGG